GACAGAGGGGGCAAACGUUGCUCGGAAUCACUGGGCGUAAAGGGCGUGUAGGCGGGAAGGUAAGUCAGAUGUGAAAUCCCCAGGCUCAACCUGGGAACUGCAUUUGAAACUCCCUUUCUUGAGUACCGGAGAGGAAAGUGGAAUUCCUGGUGUAGAGGUGAAAUUCGUAGAUAUCAGGAGGAACACCAGUGGCGAAGGCGGCUUUCUGGACGGUAACUGACGCUGAGACGCGAAAGCGUGGGGAGCAAACAGG
rnacentral:rRNA from 1 species